UGAGAGUUUAGAGGAGGUCCUCUAUGAAGUUCUAUCCUGUGCUAAGAUUCCCAUGGCACACCUAUUGGGACACGUUCUUUCUCAGAACAUUUCUGCCACCCGGAAUCUCAUGAAGCAAUGAGACUCAAUUCCCCAUAACGACAACAAUCAGCAUUCCCACUUCUCCAAAGCAUAUGGUACUAUGGAUGCCUGCCAGGGAGUUCUGUGAACGGAAGUGAGGCAUGAAUGAACAUCACCAGCCAACAUGUUAGGGUUCAUUAUUUGUGUCCAAAGAAGACAAGGAAAGAUCAGGACGUGGACUGAAAAACCAGAGUAGGCUCAGAAGAUUCAAAAGCUCGAAUCAGGAGGUGGUGUUUUUCCUGGUAUUUUGGCAGAUGUAACAGCACCAGAACCAGAAUGCGGGCAAUGUGAAGGAGAUUGUAGCAGGAGCAAAGAAAGGAAGGGAGAAAAGAAGAUGGAAUCCUCUUCUUUUUGCCAAACUCUCAGCUAAACGGCUAUAGAUCCAAGGAGAUCAUUCUGCAAUGUUAGUCACCUUAGUGUUUUGCAGUCCAAGGUUAGCAUGCAUUUUCUGGAAUUCUAUAUAGACGGACACAUUGAUGCAUACUCUCCUCUUGCCGGGCUUCUUUCAUCCAGCUGUACCACAUUCCUUGGCAUUCUGCUAGAGAUAUUUCCCCUCCCAGGCUAGAAAUAACCUCAUGUGCCAAGACGAUCUGUGAUGUGACAAGAUAUGUAUGUUGUAGAUAAGGAAGCUCUCUCUGUUCCAUGUAUACAUCCCACUGCUUCAAGCACAGGAGUUUCUCAACCCAGUGUCCCAACUGAAGACUAUGAUUUAAUGCAUUGGCGGGUUGUGUGACCAUCACCAGAGCAGGAGGAUGGAACGUGC